rnacentral:rRNA from 2 species
GUCGUCAGCUCGUGUCGUGAGAUGUUGGGUUAAGUCCCGUAACGAGCGCAACCCUUGUCCUUAGUUACCAGCACGUUAUGGUGGGCACUCUAAGGAGACUGCCGGUGACAAACCGGAGGAAGGUGGGGAUGACGUCAAGUCAUCAUGGCCCUUACGGCCUGGGCUACACACGUGCUACAAUGGUCGGUACAAAGGGUUGCCAAGCCGCGAGGUGGAGCUAAUCCCAUAAAACCGAUCGUAGUCCGGAUCGCAGUCUGCAACUCGACUGCGUGAAGUCGGAAUCGCUAGUAAUCGUGAAUCAGAAUGUCACGGUGAAUACGUUCCCGGGCCUU